AUUGAACGCUGGCGGCAUGCUUUACACAUGCAAGUCGAACGGGGUGAGGGGGCAACUCCUCAUUCAGUGGCGAACGGGUGAGUAAUGCAUCGGAACGUGUCCCGUAGUGGGGGAUAACGCCGGGAAACCGGCGCUAAUACCGCAUAUGCUCUACGGAGGAAAGUGGGGGACCGCAAGGCCUCACGCUAUGGGAGCGGCCGAUGUCCGAUUAGCUUGUUGGCGGGGUAAAGGCCCACCAAGGCGACGAUCGGUAGCUGGUCUGAGAGGAUGAGCAGCCACACUGGGACUGAGACACGGCCCAGACUCCUACGGGAGGCAGCAGUGGGGAAUUUUGGACAAUGGGGGCAACCCUGAUCCAGCCAUGCCGCGUGCGGGAAGAAGGCCUUCGGGUUGUAAACCGCUUUUAGCCGGAAAGAAAAGGCACGCCCUAAUACGGCGUGUUCUUGACGGUACCUGCGGAAUAAGCACCGGCUAACUACGUGCCAGCCGCCGCCGUAAUAC
rnacentral:rRNA from 1 species